UACGUAGGGGGCGAGCGUUGUCCGGAAUCAUUGGGCGUAAAGCGCGUGUAGGCGGCCCGGUAAGUCCGCUGUGAAAGUCCAGGGCUCAACCCUGGGAUGCCGGUGGAUACCGUCGGGCUCGAGUCCGGAAGAGGCGAGUGGAAUUCCUGGUGUAGCGGUGAAAUGCGCAGAUAUCAGGAGGAACACCAGUGGCGAAGGCGGCGACCUGGACGGACACUGACGCUGAGACGCGAAAGCGUGGGGAGCAAACAGG
rnacentral:rRNA from 1 species